rnacentral:lncRNA from 1 species
UGGAUUAAACAUAUUUCUUUCUUUUUUUAAAUGUUGAACCCUUUUUCUCCACAUAUACAAACUCCCCCCAAUUUACUCUCCAGACACACAUAGAACAUACGCACAAAUCCACAUUAUCAUCUCCAUUUUUCUUCUUCUACACAAUAUCGCACACACUUACACACCACGGAAUACACACACACGGGAAAAACGCACACACACCAUGAACGUGAAAGAAAAACACUAGAUUUUCUUCAAUGGAGAAGUAGAUGGAGAUGAUAAAUUCCACCGCCACCAACACCAAUUCAGCUUCUUGAACAAUUUUGUCAUCC